rnacentral:misc_RNA from 1 species
CGGAAAAAAAUCCGACGCUCACCAUCAUGGCGCUGGCAGUACGAGCAGCCCGGUACAUGCGGGAAUCAAGCCGGAAAGGCGAGCUCUGAUCCGUGCCGCCUCCUGACCGAGCGGCUGCGCAUGCGGUGUCGGGGCAGCGCUAUGCUCUGCUGAUAGCUCUCAUGAUUGCUUUCAGUACCAUGAGCUACUUCGACCGGAUCAUCAUGUCGAUCGCCGGC